rnacentral:tRNA from 1 species
GGAAAGUUGCCGGAGUGGUCGAACGGGGCGGACUCGAAAUCCGCUAUACGGCUUGCUGUAUCGGGGGUUCGAAUCCCUCACUUUCCG